rnacentral:rRNA from 1 species
CUACGGGUGGCUCCAGCUAGGAAACUUUUACAAUGCACGCAAGUGUGAUAGAGCAAGCCAGAGUGAUUCUCUAUAAUUGAGAAUCUUUUAUUCGAUGUAAAAAGUCGUAUGAAUAAGGACUGGGAAAGACUGGUGCCAGCCGCCGCGGUAAUACCAGCAGUUCAAGUAGCAGCCGCUUUUAUUGGGUCUAAAACAUCCGUAGCUCGCUUCGUAAGUCUUGUGUGAAAUCUGGCAUCUUAAGUGUCGGGCGCGCGCGAGAUACUGCGGAGCUCGGGACCGGGAGACGUAAGGAGUACGCACAGGGUAGCGGUCAAAUGCGUUGAUCCUGUGUGGACUAACGAUAGCGAAGGCACCUUACGAGAACGGAUCCGACAGUGAGGGAUGAAGGCCAGGGUCGCAAAACGGAUUAGAUACCCUCGUAGUC